UCUCUUAGGCUUUGGCACCUACAGAAUACCUAUGCAUCAUACUACCUACAGAAUACCCACGCCUUAAAAAAAUUCAUCCCGCUCUUAUAAAAACAUCCUCCCGCUCGUAUCCCUCAAAAAAAUUCAUCCCGCUUUCAUAAAAACAUCCUCCCGCCUGUAUCCCUCAUACACAAAAACGUCCCUUCUCCAAUCGACUUCACACCGGCACCUGCUCCAAUCGAUUUCAACGUUGUCGUCCAUACCUCCGGCUACAUCCGUCGAGUUCUCCACUACCUCCGGCCACCUCCGCGCCUCCUUCUUCACGAAGAACUCGACUUCACAGCAGAUUUCUCUAGGUUUCUGAAUUCUGAGUUUCGAUUAGUGAUGUUACUGAUGUGGGAAGAGGAGGACGACAAGUACCACUCAGCCUGAGUUUCUAGCUAAUCAGCUCUUUUCAUUUGUCAUCAAGAAGUGGGGAUGUUGGGGUCCUUUUGGUUAUCUUACAUGUAUAAGUUGAAAUUGUCAAAUAUAGGGGCAUUAUUACUCAUCUCGCUUGGGGCAUGAAAAAGUAAUGGAGCCGCCUUGGCGACAACAAGUGUCAAACAUGCAACAAGCUAUAAUGUAAACUACAAUGCUAUAAUGGAUCAAAGGCAAAGUCAAAUGGACUUACAAAUGGAACACAUGCGAAAUGGCAUGGAAUUGAAAUUGCAACGACAAUUGGUGGCCUGUAUGAGACAACUCGACCAGUCCGGUAAUCCACCAUGUAGUUCUCAGUUUUUGUCAUGACAUUGUAAUGGUAUUUUGAGUAUGUGAAUGUAUGAAUGUUGUGUUAUUGAUUAUUUUAAUGUUAAUGGGUGUAAUCGUAUUUGACUAUUAUUAUAAUUAUAUUUGUGGUUUUUUUUGCA